rnacentral:lncRNA from 1 species
UUCAAACUUGGGUCCCACGUUUCUUCCUUUUUGAAUUCUCUCUACAAACCCAUCACCAUUUUCUUGAUUCUCUCACCACCGCGCCACUCCCUGCCAAUUCCGCCGGAAAAGUACCACAUUACAUAACCAUUAUCUAAUGGGAGGAAGUGAAGACGAGUCAAUUUCUGACCUCAAGCAAGAAAUUACCCAUAAAUUUACAGAUUUCAUGACAGGGAUCGCAAAAAUUGAUGAGUUGGGAACUGCUGGAAGCAGGCUGCUGUCUGGAUUUCAACAAGCACUUGAGUUCAUUCGGAGGCCUGCUAUAGAUACAAAUUCUAAUUUAGUCAACAAAAUAAUUGCAGCUAAUGAAACUAAGAGAGUUAAAUCCUAUGUCAAUUCUGGGUGUAGGAAUCCCAAUGAUGGUGUCCAGAAUGUAACCAAUUGUAAGCAAAACUAUUCUCUCUCUCUCUAUCAAAAUUUUUCUUUCUUUUUUGGUUAAGUUUAAGAGGAGGAUAGUGUGUGAUGUGCCAUUCCAAAGUUAUGUUAUGCCAAAGCCCACCUGAGGAAUUCAGGGUGAUACCUACCAAUGAAGAACUAUCAAUGGACAACUCCUUUUAACAUUCUAAGUUAUGUCUGAUAUAUUUUUUAAAGUAAACAAACAAGUCAGAAAGGUUGUUGCUUUGUGACUUGAGGUCAUACAGGUUUUCCGCUUGUGGAGGUAAGACUUUGUAUGUCUACCCUCUCCAGACCUCAUUACGUGGGAGCCUCGUGCAUCGGGCCAACCUUUUUUUAAACAAACAAGUUUUCUGCAAGACUUAACAAUUCACUGUUCUUCUUCUUUCAAAUAAAAAAGUGAUUUCUUUUUGUGUGUACUUUAAGUUAAUAUUGGAUUCCGUAAAGCUAUGAUUAUAUCAUAAUUUCUCACAAAAUUGUGCAGUCUUACCAAGUUACUCUAACUUCUUUUUCACAAAUUUUGUUCUCAACAAAAGAUCCUACAUGUUUUUCAUGGCCUGUUUUGUGAAGCAACACCCUCAUGGUCUCUUUAUUUGGGAAACUAGAAUUGUACAGACAAGUUUUAGAAGCGUAUAGCUUUUGUAUAAGUCGAAGUAAGGCGAAAUAUAUGCGGUAAGUUUAGCAAGAGGCAAAAAGAUUGGGGAUCAUACCAUAUCACAAGUCACUAGAUUAGGUAUCUUGGGUGAAUCAAAGAAGACGAUAGGAAAUUGAUGGACAUGUAAAUCAUAGGGUUGAAGUGGGUUGGAUGAAAUGGCGUAGUGCUUCAAGUUUCAUAUGUAAUAAAAAUGUACCACUAAAGCUUAAGGGUGAGUUUUAUCACAUGACUAUAAGACCUACAAUGUUAUAUGGGAUGAAUUGUUGGGCACUAAAAUGCCAACAAGAGAAUAAACUCCAUUUAUCAGAGAUGAGAGUGUUCGUUGGAUUAGUGGACACACUAGACAAGAUAUGAUUAUUUUCUUCACUUGUAUUAGUCAGUUCACCAAAUGUCUACCAUUAACACAUUUUUUGUUGAAGUCACUAGAACUAGACAUAUCUAGUGCCUUUUGUUUAUUGGAUAAAGGACUCCUGCUUGAAACAGCACUAUAAGAUCAUCCGUUAUUAAUUCUUAAUUAAAUUCUUUUUGCUAAAAUCUAUUGCAUUUAUUUGCCCUGACUAUUUAACUGUUUCAAUAUGGCAAAAUCUACAUAUGGAAGUGCACUCAUGCAAGAAUGGACUUCUUAUCCAUAUAAGCGAAGGUAUGGACUCAUUUUUUCAUAUGAUUGAUCACUUAUUGCAAUAUGCCUAUGUUAGGCCCAUUAUAAACUUGUCUAGAAAAUUGAAGCAUGGUGCUAGGGCUAGGCUUAUACAAAAACCAGAACCCACAUAGUCUGGAAUAUAUAACUCUGGACAGAAUGAUACAAUAUCUUUAUCAUCAGUUUGCUAGUUUUCUUGCCCUUAAAUCUAUUCAAUUUUAUCUUAAAGUACUGUGGUUUAUAUUCAACAUUUAUCUUAAAGUAAAUCUGGCAGCUUACUUUAUGAAGACCCUUUGUAACUUGGAGG